AUUACAGAAAUCCACCUUAUCUCACGAAACCCAACGAUUACAGACACUUGCCUGCCUUUGCCUCCUGAGUGCUGCAUUUAAAAGCAUGGGCCACUACACCUGGCCAGUUUCAUUAUACAUUCUCUCUAUGCUUUUCUUUGACUAUUGAUUUAAAAGUGUAUUCUUUCAGUUUCUUGUUUACUCUUUUAUAGUCCGUAUAUUUUUCAGAGCAAAGGUUGUAGAUAUCGUCAGGCAGUUUAUUAGUUUUUACAAAAUGAACAUAUUUUAGUGUAUCUCUGUAUAAUCUAGGGCUUUUAAACCGGUUUAGUUUCACAUUUGGCAUUUAGCGUAGUAUGAGUUUUGAGGUAAUUAUUAUUUAUAUAAGUCAGGUGGUUUUUUUUUUUGUUUGUUUGUUUUGCUCAGAGAUAUCUAGUUUUUUAGUCCUAUUUAUUGAAAGUACUAUUCUUUCUCUAUUGAAUUGCAUUAGCUCCUAUGUCAAAAAUCAACUUACCAUAAUCAUGUGAGUUUAUUUCUGGGCUUUUUACUUGAUUCCAUUGAUUGGUCUCCUUCGCUAAUCCCACAUUGUUUUGGUUUUCAUAUCAAGGUAAGAUUUAUAAUCAAGUAGUUUGAAUAUCCAACUUUGUUUUUAUUUAAAAAAUUCUCUAGCUUUUCUUUUUCAUGUAUCUUUCCAUCUGAACAUUGGUUAUCUUGUCUUUGUAACAAUUCUAGUAAAGAUUGUCACUUGAUUUGUAUUAAAGCCAGAGAGCAAUUUGGAGACCUGUUGAGUCCUUGCAUUAUAAAUAUAAUACUUCUUUAGGCUUGUUAACGUACCUUUGCUGUCUUCUUAGUAGCAUUUGAUCGUUUUCAGUUAUCUGAUAUUUCAUGGUUUUAGAGCUAUUUCGUGAUUUUGUUUAAAUUUAAUGUUUAGUUGACUCACAAUAUAGACAUCAAUUUUUGUAUGUUGAUUUUUCUUAAAUUAUUGGUUACAGAAGCUAUUUUGUAGAUUCCUUGUGAUUUUCAAAUUCAGUAAUCAUUGUCUUGCAAAUGAGGACAGUUUUAUUUCUUCUUUUGUUAUAUAUAUGCUUAUAAUCAAAUUUUUUGUUUUAUUAUAAUGGGUAGGAUUUCCAGUAUACUGCUAGAUAACAGUUGUGAAUGAAAAACACCCUUGACCGUUCCUGCUCUUAAGGGAAAUGCACUCAAAAUAUUUUGCCAUUAGGUAACACCAGGCUUUAGGUUUUAAAUCUCCUUUAACAAGUUAAAGAAGGUCCUUUUCAUUACCAGUAUUCUGAGGUUUUUUUUUUUUUUUUAAAUCAUGAAUGAGAGUUAAAACCUGUCAAAUAUUUUUUAAUUGACUAUAAGCUCAUUCAGUUUUCCCCAGUAGCUUGUUAUUUCUAUGGUAGUUUUCAUUGAUUUCCAAAUAUUGAUUAAUCUUGAAGAAAUAACUCCCAACUUGGCUUUGACUUUGCAUGUUUUUCUUUUUCUUUUUUUAAAUUCAGUGUUUCCCUCUUUGCCCAGCCUGAUCCUGAAUUCACUAUGUAGUUCAGGUUGGCCUCAAACUCACAGCAGUCCUCAUGGCGCAAGCUGCCUCAGUGCUGUGACUAUAGUGUGAGCCACCAUUCCUGGCUUUGUUUUUAUGUAUUACUGAACUGGAUCUGCCAGUAUCAUGUUGAAGACUUUUCUCUACUUCGUGAGGAAUAUCGGUCUAUAUUUGUCUUGUUUGGUUUACUGUCAAGGUAACAAUAAACUCAUAAAAUGAGUUUUGACACCUUUUCUGCCUUCUGGAAUAAAUCAUGUAGAAUGCUAUUUCUUAAAUGUUUGAUAGAAUUCAGUGCUGCAACUAAAAACAUUGUUAUAAAGAUAAAAAUUAACUUUUCACAACCAGAAUAGUAAUAAUAUUAUAGAAAACAUUGCUUAAAACUUAGAAACCAUAGAAUCAUAAGGACUUAGUAUCUCUCAAGUCACAAUUGAGAGCAUUUUUAACAUUUAGAAGUUUUUCUUUCUUUUGUGUACAUACUUUGUGUGUGUGUGUGUGUGUGGUUUGUUUUUUUGAGACAGAGUUUCUCUAUGUAACAGAUAUGGCUUUCCUGGAUCUUGCUUUGUAGACCAGGCUGUCUUUGAACUCAGAAAUCCACCUGCCUCUGCCUCCCAAGUACGGGGAUUAAGUUGCACACAAGCGUGUAUUGAUGUAAAUAUUAAAAACUUGGGAAUCAUGUAAUGAAUGCCAUUUUGCUUAUGGGCUCAGUAUAGUUGCUUGAUUGCAUUGUGUGCAUAUCCCAUAAUUUUCCAUAAACAUUUUAUAUUGUUGAACAUUUAAUUAUGUUAAUAGCUUUUCUGUAUUUUUUUCCUGAAAGCUAUUUUAUAGACAUUUAAAGAGUUGUAUAGUCAAGAAUCUUCAUUAUUCAUUGCAAAUUGUUUUUAAAAAGGAUAUAAGUUUUUUAUCCCAGAUGUGAAUUUUUAAUGUGUAUUUUCACAUCUAGAAGUAUAUAAUGCAUUGUAAACAUUGCAGCAUGCCGGUGUUUGUACAUGAUGUAUUUUAGAAUGCUAAAGAGUGGAGAAUACUGUUUAAAAAUCCUCAUCAAAUGAAUAUAUUUCUGGCAUAGGUAUGCACAUCUGUGACAGUGUUAGUAUACAAGUUGAAGCUUUAAAGUUAGAAAUGUACAAAAAUGCUAGUAAGAAGUUAACUGGGUCUUAAUAAUAUGAUCUGUGGUCCACAGAUUUUAUUAUUUUCCAGAUUUUAUUAUUUUUUAUUAUUUUUAUUAUUUUCCAGAUUCUGGGAAAGUGGCCCUAGGGACCGUUCCCCGAUUGGGUCUGGGGUAGCAGAGAUGAAGUAUGGAUUUAGCAAAUAUUAAUUCAAGAACACAGGAAGGGAGUGUGUGCUGGCUGUGGGGAGGUUUAGAAGUGCUCAGCCAUUGAGCUAGUCAAGGCAUAUCAAAAUUAGCUGACAUGUGUAUCUUUUAUUCGUGAAUCCAGAGAGCUCUUGGACCAGAGCAACGCAUGCACAACCUGCUGAGAGCAUCAAGCAAUUUAACUGUUCACAGCUACACAUGUGACAGAGG
rnacentral:lncRNA from 1 species